AACCUUUCGUUCGCUCUAAUUUGUGUCUUUGUUGUCGUUGGUCUGUUUAGGUGGAUACCCUUCGCCAUGUUAUCAGCCAGACAGGAGGAUACAGUGACGGACUCGCAGCAAGUCAGAUGUAUAGUCCGCAGGGCAUCAGUGCUAAUGGAGGUUGGCAAGACGCUACUACCCCAUCGUCGGUGACCUCCCCCACAGAAGGCCCUGGCAGCGUUCACUCUGAUACCUCCAACUGAUCUCCCAGCAAAUUGCAUCCCUGGCUGAUCCGGCCCCGGCGGGGUGGGAGGGGAGGGGGCCUCUCCUAACACCGCAGCAGUCAGACUGGAGGUGAAACCAAUCAGCACACACAAGAAGACUCCUUCUCUUCUCUUCUCUUCGUCGGGAUGCUUUUUUCAGCCAAUCUGGACACUUCUUUAUACUCUCCUCCCUUUCUUUUCUGGGUAGAAGCCGCUCUCCCCCCCUUGCCGCCGCCACAACACCUCCCUCCCCCCACCUCCCCACCGAAGGAUAUUUCGACAGCUAGAAGGAUUUUAUGGAGGAAAAGCAAAAAACAACCACCGCCACGCCAACCGAACCAAAAGCAGUGCAUGGCCUCGCACUGAGCCAAAACCAUACCUCGGUCGGGUCUCGCUCCUUCUCCACCAAGUAGCCCCGCUCACCCUGUUCCUCUCUUGCUACCUCUCUGUAGGAAAUGAUCUCGGCAGCCCUCUGCCCUGCUGCACCCUCACCUCAGCUGCUCUGGACACUGAGUGCACCCUUGCUGUGCCCCAGGAGCCAUCCCCGUGCACUGUGGGCUGGAGGGCAGGUGGUGCAGCCCUGCUGUAUGUAGGAGCCAGAGCCGGGGGCUCCCCACUGCUUUAUGGAGGUACCAACCAACCCACUGCCAGCCCCCAGGCAGCACUGCUUGUCCUUCUCCCGGCCCUGCCGCAGCUCCCAAAAUGCGUUGGCCCUGAGAGGUGACACCCUGCCAGCAUCCCUCCUGGCCACCGUUCUGCAAUGCUGGAGGGGAGGGGAGGGCAGGAAGCAGAGGCAGGUGGGUCACUGCUGGUAACCAAAGUGCUGAGCACAGCCAUGGUGCUUAAUGUGAUCAAGUAAUGAUCAAGUAAUGAUGGAUGGAACACGAGCAGUUUUCUCACCUAGGGAGGCCAGCAGCAGACAGAGUUCUGCAGAGAGCAUUGCACGGUGUUAGCUCGUGCUUCCCCCUGCAGGUCCACCAGCUGCAGAGGGAAAGGAGAAUGUGGGUUUCUUGGUGGAAGGGUCGGUGGCCCCCUCUGCAUCCCCAAACUGUUGCCUGGUGCACAGGACCCCACAGGCUAGGUGCACUCUGGGUGCCUUUGGAAAUGGGUCAUACAAUGGCUUUGCUCGAGGGUGAAGUUCUGCAAGGUGAGUGGACGUCCCUUUGGGGUUUGUCCUUCUGCUGUGGCUUGGAGUUUCUCUGAGAAGUGGCAUCUAAAGCCUUGGGAGAUAUCAUGGGGUCUUCCGCCCGGCUUUUCCCAUCUGCUUUAGGAGCAGCUGGUGAUGGGUGGAAACAGGACUUGGUCCUGCUGCAACAGGAUUCUGGGCAGCGGGAGGGAAUUGCAGUGGCACCCACUGCCUCUUGUCAUGGGUGAUGGGCAGCAAUUUGUUCUGUCGGCUGCGUGGGGCACCUGGCAACAAACCUUAAGGCCUCCCGACCUCGGCUCACGUCCACGGCUCGCACUCUGUCCACACCAGCAUUGCCUCCUUUAAGCUGGGAAUCUGGCUGGUGCGGAGCAAACAUUUCGCAUUAAAGCUCCGCCGGAAACAUUUCCACCCCUGUGCUGGAAGCAGCAGCACUGGCCCACAGCCCGGUGCCAGCAGCUCGCGGUGCCUCGGGGGUGGCCGUAGGGACAUGGCUUCCCAUAGGGGCUCCCGAGUGUGCAGUCGGUGACCAACAGAUCAACAAAAUGUCUGUUCCGUGGUUGCUUCUGAUCAGUGACGGGAUGAACACGCCUCCCACCGCUGAUAAAGGGAGCGAAUGCCCCAAAUCUUGAAAGAUUCAGCCCAAAGGAGAGACUCCGCGCCGCCUCAGUCGGAGAGGGCCGGGCUGCAGGCAGCACAUACAGCACCCAAGGCGAAGGGCUGCCUCUGCCAAGCUUUGCUUCAGGGCAUGAAAUCCAGAGGGCCAGGAGCGAGUUGGUCCCACGCAAGGACAGCCCCGAGGACAGCACCGCGCUCACUCCUCCACGGUACUUUGCACCCUCAGGUUCGUCCCUCUGGGUCGCGUUGUCGGUCGCACUCCUUAUGUCUGUGCUUUUUUUUAAAUGGUUUUAUCCCCUCUCUGCCCAUCCCUCUACCCCAAAAAGUGUUGUGGUUAUUUUCUUUUCUUUAAAAUUUUU